CGUGAGAUGUUGGGUUAAGUCCCGCAACGAGCGCAACCCCUAUUGUUAGUUGCCAUCAUUCAGUUGGGCGACUCUAGCGAGACUGCGGUAAUAAACCGGAGGAAGGUGGGGAUGACGUCAAAUCAUCAUGCCCCUUAUGACCUGGGCUACACACGUGCUACAAUGGUUGGUACAACGAGUUGCGAGUCGGUGACGGCAAGCUAAUCUCUUAAAGCCAAUCUCAGUUCGGAUUGUAGGCUGCAACUCGCCUACA
rnacentral:rRNA from 1 species